rnacentral:lncRNA from 13 species
AUGGUUCCAGCUUCCAAGACACCCCGAGGCCUCCUUGGCUACUUCGUAAUCAGACCAGGCCUGGUCUCCUCUCAAGACAGUCAGUGGUCGGGGAUCAGAGGCAGCACUCAUCACAGCAGAGAGGCAGGACCAGCUGGGAGAGGCCCUUCUGUAACACCUACUGCAUCACCAGGCUGUGUGAACGGACUCAGCUGCCAGAACGCACAGAGUAUCAUUCCACACCGAAACCUCACGGGAAAUGAUCAGGGACCGUGGAUCAUGCUGACAAGCUCAUCAAUUACCUGCAACUCGCCAACAAUACCAAGGUCUUGCUUUCUUGGUGGGGUAGUUGAUGACUGCUGAGGAUGUCUGUGAACUUGAAAUUGUGUUUAUCUGCCAGAGACCUUGAACCUGAGAACUUCCUUCCAUGCACAGUGGUACAGAUGGCGAGCUUGGUGUGAGUAUUGUCGAGGGACAUAAAUUAGAGCUAUUGGAGUUGGAAGAGAGGGAAGGAUGUAUUGCUAAUUGCAGCAUCAUUACAGGGCAGCCUAGAAGCUAAAAGAGACACAGUGUCAACAGUGAAACCCCAGAAGUGACAGACAGUGUCUAUCUGAGCAGAGACCAGUGACUGCAUUUGGAGGCAGAGGUCAUUACCACGGGCAAUUUACAGGCUCUAUGACUCUGUGGGGGAGAGAAACUCACUCUGACAUGCAACAAUAUGGUAAAGUGGGCAUUUUAUUUUUUUCAGGAGCCAUAAUUUUCAGAUGAUGACUUUUAGGAUCCUUUAAGGAGGAUAAUUGAUUACCUGACAAAGAACCUGUAGCAUUUCCUCCAUGCAAUGGAAGAGAGAAAAACAGCAACAAUCAGCUCUUUCAAGCAGAAAAGGAGCAUUUUUCAGAGAAAACACCGAAAAGUUUAUAACAAUGGGAGCCCGAGGAAACACAAAUACAUCUUGCCUUCUUGACAAAUAAGAUUUAAUUAAGACAAUCCUCCUGCUGGAAAGGCAGGGCUUGCCUGUGCCGUGCAGGGAAAAGCGACAGGCUCAGGAGUGAGAAUCUCCUUGAAAUGCCGUCCUGUGUGGCCUCUUAAUUAUUCAUGAGCAUCCUUGUCACUGAAUUUCAUGGUUUCACCUAUUUUUAGUUGAUCUUUUUACUCCAAAUGCUACUUGUAUUACUUCAUGACAUAGGUAAUGCGUCCACAAUAGGCACAGAUGAAACAGAGAGG